UGUACUUUAAAAUGCUAGCAAGAUGCAACUUCUUUUCUUAUCCUACUUGGGUUGCUACAUGAAAUAAUUUUGUGUGGGACUCUGAACAUCUAACAUCUUUAUCUAAAAUAAUGUCAUUAUCAUUUCUUGGAGGAACUUGUGGGAGAUUGGAUACAUCAGACACUGCAUGGACUGCAAUCCAGGACUCAUAAUACUCCAGUGAUUUUGUGACCUCUCAAGAUUAAGUACCCAGCUAGUUCCCAGUAAGGAGUUAUGGAUGUUCUGGAGCACCUCCAUUUCAUCUAAGGUUUACAUUUGUCAUGUCUCCACUCCACCCACUCUAUAAAUAACCUGCCAGGGAGAACUUCUGCAUCAAAAGCCAGCCCACUGCAAUCACUUCCAGAGUGCUUCAUCCCACACUUCAAAUGAAAGCACAGAUCUGCUAGGGCCUCCUUUUAUGGAGUAGAGCCCACGAAGCUGAGCUGAGAACCCAGCUCAGAGGCACCCAUCAGUGAUGCAGUCCAUAACGCUGGAACAUAGAUGGUCAGCUUCCCAAAUUAGCCAAACCAAAUGCUACUACACUUGGCAUGGAAAAAAGGAGUGCCAGAAGUUCUCUGAACCUCCAGGCCCCUACUUUGAUCUUGCCACCAUCACCAAUUCACAAUGGAUCUCCAUGCCAGGGCUUCAUCUGCAUUCAUCAUAUGAAGUUCACUCCCUCUCCAAUCAUGCAGCCAAGAUCUCUGUAGCUAUGUUUUUCCUAGUUUCUACUAAUUUGCAAGUUUCCAUGUACUGUACCCAUUUUCUGACCUAGCUCUGGCCCAUGUCACUUAUCAAAGUUAGUAGCUUGUUUGCAUCUCCAAACCCUGGGACCUGGUGAUCUUUGCCUGGACACAUUGCUAUCUCCUUUGGGGUAUUAAAUGUGCUUCACCCCAGGCACAUACCAAAUGGGGCCCUAUUACUGUCUA